GAGUUUGAUUAUGGCUCAGGAUGAACGCUGGCGGCGUGCCUAACACAUGCAAGUCGAACGGAAAGCUACCGCUUCGGAGACUUCGGUCAAUGUUUGGUAGUUUUUAGUGGCGGACGGGUGAGUAACGCGUGGAUAACCUGCCAUAUACAGGGGGAUAACAGUUAGAAAUGACUGCUAAUACCGCAUAAGCGCACGGAACCGCAUGAUUCUGUGUGAAAAAACUCCGGUGGUAUAUGAUGGAUCCGCGUCUGAUUAGCCAGUUGGCGGGGUAACGGCCCACCAAAGCGACGAUCAGUAGCCGGCCUGAGAGGGUGAACGGCCACAUUGGGACUGAGACACGGCCCAAACUCCUACGGGAGGCAGCAGUGGGGGAUAUUGCACAAUGGGGGAAACCCUGAUGCAGCCGACGCCGCGUGAGCGAAGAAGUAUUUCGGUAUGUAAAGCUCUAUCAGCAGGGAAGAUAAUGACGGUACCUGACUAAGAAGCACCGGCUAAAUACGUGCCAGCAGCCGC
rnacentral:rRNA from 1 species